AUUGAACGCUGGCGGCAGGCCUAACACAUGCAAGUCGGGCGAGCGGAGGACGGGUGUGUAAUGUAUGGGGAUCUGCCUGAUGGAGGGGGAUAACUACUGGAAACGGUGGCUAAUACCGCAUACCAUCAGUUGAACCCAUAUGGGAUUAGCGUGUAGGUGAGGUAACGGCUCACGUAGGCGACGACCCCUAGCUGGUCUGAGAGGAUGAUCGGCAACCCUGGGACGGGGCAACGGCCCGAACUCCUACGGGAGGCAGCAGUGGGGAAGUUUGCACAAUGGGCGAAAGCCUGAGGCGGCCAUGCCGCGUGUAUGAGGAAGGUCUUAGGGUUGUAAAGUACGUUCAGCGGGGAGACGUUACCCGCAGAGGAAGCACCGGCUAACUCCGUGCCAGCAGCCGCGGUAAUAC
rnacentral:rRNA from 1 species